rnacentral:misc_RNA from 1 species
UAAGUGAAUCGAAGGAUGGCAACGCGUCUCCGAAGGCGUGCGUGCAGACAUCGCACACCCCACAUGCAUAUUGCACGCGCACACGGGCGUCCCUGCCAGGGCACUACCCUUUUAUCGGAGAGUUGACGCGCAGGCAUGUGGGCAUGCGUGUCUCCAUGUCAAGUGCAGCAGACGCUGCACGCCGCCGCCGGUGCGAGUCGAAGUCGAGGCGGAGCCUGAAACACGGUUCCCCACAUGCCCCGCGUGAUCGCGCACGCCCUCUCCACCUACACACGCGCAGGAGCACGCAGGCGCAGCCAAUCCGCCCCUCUCCCCCCCCGUCCCCUCCGUCUGUCGGUCUGUCGCAUAGGUCUCUCUUCCUUUGUCUACAGCGGGGGAGGGUACACACGAGCACUGCCCUCUUCAGCGAGCCCACACACGCGCAUCGCCACCUCUGACCACCGCCUCCCCUCAUAAAAGCGCUCCCGCACACAGCCACCAUCAUGCAGGUUCUGUCGGAGGCGACCCCUAUGACCAACGGCGAGGUGUAUGCCUUGCUGCGCCGUCGCCGCGAUGAGCGAAACGCGGCGCGGCACCCGCCCUUUGGACUGCAGCCCGUGCUCGCCGACAGCCACCAGCGUGUGGCGGUCGCCACCGGCGCUGCGGCAGCAACCGCGGUAGCGCCAUCAGCGGCGGCGUCGGCGUCAGCUAUAUCAAGAGCAGCGUCGGUGACGAGCCACAGCAGCGUCGGACAGCAUAGCGGCAGCAAGGCAGCGCCGGCAGGGGCCAUUGAAAGUGCUGCCUCCGCAGCAGCGGCGUCGACCGCCAGUAUUCUCGCCUCACCUUCCUCCGUGCACCUGGUCGUGCUCCUCACAGAGGUGACCAUGCUCAACUACAUUGCAAACCACUCCUCUCUGCUGCUUGAAUCGGCAAGGCCCACGCCGGCUGGCGUGCGAGCGCGCACGUGUACGCCGCGCGACGUGUAUGGGCCUACGUCGGUGUACAGCCGGGUCGUCGGCUCCGAAGGUCGAAGUGGUGCCGCUGUAGGGGCGUCGGCAACGGCCGCGGACUCGCUGUUGGAUGCAGAGUUCGUGUCAUCUUGCUACGCCAAGUUGGCCUCCCACCGUCCAGGGACACGCGGCCACGUCCACGCCGUCGAGGAGCUGCUGGAGCACUUCGAAGAGGCGGGACGUGCGCGGGAGCGCUUCUACGCGGCAGGGGUGCGCCGCGCGGUGCAGCAACUGUGGCGCCGGCGGCUGUGGGUGCCGGCGGAGGGCCCGUGCCCGCCGCCAUCUCCACCGCUCGCAACGACAGCACCGUCGCUGAGCAACGGAAGCGCGCUGGUGAAAGCCGAGCCGGUCGCCGAGGAGGACGUCGACGGCACAGCGGAGGCGGUGCAGAGGUCGUCGCAGGACAAGGUAGCCAUGCAGAGCGGUGCUGGAGAAACGAACAGCGACGCUGAAGGUGCGCAGCCCACCAACGCGUCGCAUCUGGUGACGCCGCUGCUGCUCGAGCCUACUCCGCUAUGGGGCCCAGCGGCGAGGAACGGUGGUGGCAAGGGUAGCGCAGAUGGCGGUGCGGCUACCACGAGCACGGCGCACAGUCCGCUCAGCUAUCACGCUCAGCUACAGCUGCAGCAGGCGAGUCGGUCUCUGCUGUCGGAGGCCGAAGUGCUUCAACUCGUCGUAGGACGGCCGCAGCGUGCACUGGACGUGUACCGACUGCUGGACGACGUCGAUGGCCGUCUGCAGUACAGGGAAGAGGCGGUGAACGCCUUCGUGGAGGCUGUGACUGGCGUCUUCGCCGAAUGAGGAGUGCGGGGCGGAAGGCGGAGGUGAUGGGCAGGCGCCCAGCACCCCAGAAAUGCAACGGGCCGCGCGCGUAUGCGUGAGCGUGCAUGAUGCCGUCUGCCUGCGCCUGUUUGAGCAACUCAGAGUAAAGGCUAAGCCGAUGCACGAUAAGACG